rnacentral:sRNA from 1 species
ACAUUUUAUAUUUAAACUGUAAAAUAUUGAAUAUUUUUUCAUAAUUAGUAUUUACAAGACAAUUCGCCAUUUAAUGUAGUUAUACGAAGUCACUAUUUGUUACUAACGUAAAUUAAUUGUUAGGUUUUGUGUGUAAAACUUUCGAACUAACAAAUGCAUUUAAAAGGAACAAUUGCGGCAAUACAACACAUUAAAAUCAAUCCAUCCCGGUCAGUAUUUUCAUUAACUUGAUUAUUCUGAUGAACAUAUAAUUUUGAGCUCGGGGAAAAAAAACUCUCCGUUAGCAAUUGUUUUGGACCCUGAGAUUUAGUGUAUCAUACCUGCAGACCGCUCUCAGCGGGUACAUCUAAAGAUUUGGUUUGCCAGGAAUUGUAGCUGACGUCAGUUGUUCCAAUUGUGAACAGAGUGGAUUCGGUGCCCGCCGAGUUCCUGUACUUGAAUACCAUUGAAGCAUCAUAGCCGUCAUCGUAGAACGCAUCAAUGUACAGGUAUUUAAAGCUCAAACACCUUGCAGCCUCUGUCAAAACCAUAGGAAAGGUUUUAGGAGUCUUACAAAGAACCUUAUCUCGCUUAUGAUAUGAUGCAUAGAAUGAUGCAUUAUUAUUAAAUGAACUAUAAAUCUCUUUGUAAAAAAUUAGUUUCUUUACAAAAAAUUGUAGAUUUGUUAAAAAAUUUAAUGGUAUAUUUGCUUCAUGAUAUUAAAAAAACCACGCAAAAUACAUGAUUCAUUUAAUAAAUUUAUAUUGUGUUUGGUUUCGUUUUUUUGACUGCUGUUUUUAGGAUUACUAAAGAGAGUUGUUAUAGUCAAUGAUUUCCUCCUUAGCAUUAAAUGUGUGUUACCUUGAAAAUCAGCAGAAGUGACUAAAUAAGCUUUGUUUCCGGGAUUUUUGUUUCCAUCCAUCAUCAGAUAUUGGAAUCCGUCUUCAUUUCCAGGGUAUCUAGUAUCCACAGUCUGAAAUUAAGAAUUUGUAACAUAAAACUUAUCAUCCCACAAUAAUGUAGUUGUAAGGGCAGUGUCACAUGACCUUCUGAUUACCUCUUAUAUAAUUUUGAGUUUUCAUU